rnacentral:rRNA from 1 species
GGGCGAAAGCCUGAUGCAGCAACGCCGCGUGAAGGAAGAAGGGUUUCGGCUCGUAAACUUCUAUCAACAGGGACGAAAAAAAUGACGGUACCUGAAUAAGAAGCCCCGGCUAACUACGUGCCAGCAGCCGCGGUAAUACGUAGGGGGCAAGCGUUAUCCGGAAUUACUGGGUGUAAAGGGAGAGUAGGCGGGAUAUUAAGUCUGUUUUAAAAGUUCGGGGCUCAACCCCGUGAUGGAAUGGAAACUAAUAUUCUUGAGUGCAGGAGAGGAAAGUGGAAUUCCCAGUGUAGCGGUGAAAUGCGUAGAUAUUGGGAGGAACACCAGUGGCGAAGGCGACUUUCUGGACUGUGUCUGACGCUGAGGCGCGAAAGCCAGGGGAGUGAACGGGAUUAGAUACCCCGGUAAUCCUGGCCGUAAACGAUGGGUACUAGGUGUAGGAGGUAUCGACCCCUUCUGUGCCGCAGUUAACACAAUAAGUAUUCCGCCUGGGGAGUAC